GUGUUGUAUGAAAGGAGAGAAGGUUAGCACUCCCCUCGAUAAGAUUGGAAGAGGUCCUAGUGGCCUUUACAACACACAUACGGUUAAUGACAAUGGUGGGACAUCCUUUUCAACCUUUU
ensembl:snRNA